ensembl:ncRNA T26H10.5 ncRNA
AUCGAGUCUCUUUCUCUCUUUAUCUCAUCCAUUUUUCCUUUUUUUCCUAGAAUAAAAGAGUAAUCCAUUCAUUUUCUACUGACUUUUCUAUUUUUACUCUAAUUGUGCUCAUCACAAAUGGCUCCUCAUGGGAGCAAUUAUCGAUAUGCU